rnacentral:rRNA from 1 species
UACAGAGGGUGCAAGCGUUAAUCGGAAUUACUGGGCGUAAAGCGUGCGUAGACGGUUAUGUAAGUCAGGUGUGAAAGCCCCGGGCUCAACCUGGGAAUGCCAUUUGAGACUGCAUAGCUAGGGUACGGAAGAGGGAAGCGGAAUUUCAGGUGUAGCGGUGAAAUGACGUAGAUAUCUGAAGGAACACCAGUGGCGAAAGCGGCUUCCUGGUCCAGUACCGACGUCAGGCACGAAAGCGUGGGGAGCAAACAGG